rnacentral:tRNA from 1 species
CUGACUAGAGCUUAAAAAAUCAAGCGCUUUAUUUACACUAAUGAGAAUAUUGUUGAAUCAAUAUAGUCCGA